rnacentral:rRNA from 1 species
GUACCCGCUGAACUUAAGCAUAUCAAUAAGCGGAGGAAAAGAAACCAACAGGGAUUGCCUCAGUAACGGCGAGUGAAGCGGCAACAGCUCAAAUUUGAAAUCUGGCCCCUUCGGGGUCCGAGUUGUAAUUUGUAGAGAGUGCUUCGGGGGAGACCGCGGUCUAAGUCCAUUGGAACAUGGCGUCCCAGAGGGUGAGAAUCCCGUAUGUGACCGCGGCUCGAGCCCAUGUGAAGCCUCUUCGACGAGUCGAGUUGUUUGGGAAUGCAGCUCUAAAUGGGUGGUAAAUUUCAUCUAAAGCUAAAUACUGGCUGGAGACCGAUAGCGCACAAGUAGAGUGAUCGAAAGAUGAAAAGCACUUUGGAAAGAGAGUUAAACAGUACGUGAAAUUGUUGAAAGGGAAGCGCUUGCAACCAGACCUGCCCGUAGGCGAUCAACCGCUGUUCUCAGCGGUGCACUCGUUCUGCGAUCAGGCCAGCAUCGGUUCGGGCGGUUGGAUAAAGGCCUUGGGAAUGUAGCUUCCCUUCGGGGGAGUCUUAUAGCCCUCGGUGCAAUGCGGCCAGCCGGGACCGAGGACCGCGCUUCGGCUAGGAUGCUGGCGUAAUGGUUGUAAGCGACCCGUCUUGAAACACGGACCAAGGAGUCUACCAUCUAUGCGAGUGUUUGGGUGUCAAACCCAUGCGCGAAAUGAAAGUGAACGGAGGUGAGAACCCUUAAGGGCGCAUCAUCGACCGAUCCAGAUGUCUUCGGAUGGAUUUGAGUAUGAGCAUGGCUGGUGGGACCCGAAAGAUGAUGAACUAUACUUGAAUAGGGUGAAGCCAGAGGAAACUCUGGUGGAGGCUCGCAGCGGUUCUGACGUGCAAAUCGAUCGUCGAAUUUGGGUAUAGGGGCGAAAGACUAAUCGAAUCAUCUAGUAGCUGGUUCCUGCCGAAGUUUCCCUCAGGAUAGCAGUAACGUUUUCAGUUUUAUGAGGUAAAGCGAAUGAUUAGAGGCCUUGGGGUUGAAACAACCUUAACCUAUUCUCAAACUUUAAAUAUGUAAGAAGUCCUUGUUACUUAGUUGAACGUGGACAUUUGAAUGCACCGUUACUAGUGGGCCAUUUUUGGUAAGCAGAACUGGCGAUGCGGGAUGAACCGAACGCGAGGUUAAGGUGCCGGAAUGUACGCUCAUCAGACACCACACAAAGGGUGGCGUAUAGGGGCCGGCCCUUGAUCGUUUGAGGCUGUUCCGGGGUGAUUUCCCGGCGACAGCCCGAGAGAUCCUAGGGGUCUGCGGGUUUCACUGUGGUGUCGUGCCCCCGAAGGUUUCGACCUAAAGGGAACAGUCUUCCGAGGCAAGGUCUUUGAUUUAUAGGGGCUCGCUGUUACAAGCUUACCCUUAACCGUCCCCUGACGGCCCACAGAUCAAGCGAAGGCCGGCGGUCCGACUCUACAGUCGCCGCUUAAGAUAUGAUCGGCUUUCAGGCUACAAGCCUGGGAAUUAAGUGCAAAAGGUGUUGAUUCAUCUAGACAGCCGGACGGUGGCCAUGGAAGUCGGAAACCGCUAAGGAGUGCCCUGUUGCACGCUCCUCAUAGAAUAUCGAUUCUAGGGACCCUUUCUGUCCCCAUCGUUCCAAAAUCGUGAGUGAUAUCGCGAACCACCCCGAGCUUUAGGGCCCUCGGGUGGUCUACAGACUAAACGGAACGAGUCUCCCGGCUGUGGAGAUUUUGACAUAGUCGAGCUCUUGCCCCCGUUGCGGGGCAUGUUUCCGCGGUGUAACAACUCACCGGCCGAAUGAAUCAGCCCUGAAAAUGGAUGGCGCUCAAGCGUGCUACCCAUACCUCGCCGCCAGGGUAGAAACGAUGCCCUGGCGAGUAGGCAGGCGUGGGGGUCAGUGACGACGCCUUGGGAGUGAUCCCGGGUAGAACGGGCCCUAGUGCAGAUCUUGGUGGUAGUA